rnacentral:rRNA from 1 species
AGCUGAGUUUGAUCCUGGCGCAGAUUGAACGCUGGCGGAAUGCUUUACACAUGCAAGUCGAACGGUAGAGGGGGCAACCCCUCGAGAGUGGCGAACGGGUGAGUAAUGUAUCGGAACGUGCCCAGUCGUGGGGGAUAACGUAGUGAAAAUUACGCUAAUACCGCAUACGAUCUAAGGAUGAAAGCGGGGGAUCGCAAGACCUCGCGCGAUUGGAGCGGCCGAUGGCAGAUUAGGUAGUUGGUGGGGUAAAGGCUCACCAAGCCGACGAUCUGUAGCUGGUUUGAGAGGACGACCAGCCACACUGGGACUGAGACACGGCCCAGACUCCGUACGGGA